CUCAGGACGAACGCUGGCGGCGUGCCUAACACAUGCAAGUCGAGCGGGAAAUUAUCGAAUGAAGCUUCGGCAGAAUUUGGUAAUGGAUAGCGGCGGACGGGUGAGUAACGCGUGAGUAACCUGCCCUUAAGAGGGGGAUAACACAGAGAAAUUUGUGCUAAUACCGCAUAAGAUUGUAGUACCGCAUGGUACAGCAAUUAAAGGAGCAAUCCGCUAUGAGAUGGGCCCGCGGCGCAUUAGUUAGUUGGUGAGGUAACGGCUCACCAAGGCGACGAUGCGUAGCCGACCUGAGAGGGUGAUCGGCCACAUUGGGACUGAGACACGGCCCAGACUCCUACGGGAGGCAGCAGUGGGGAAUAUUGCACAAUGGGGGAAACCCUGAUGCAGCAACGCCGCGUGAAGGAAGACGGUCUUCGGAUUGUAAACUUUUGUUCUUGGUGAAGAAAAAUGACGGUAGCCAAGGAGGAAGCCACGGCUAACUACGUG
rnacentral:rRNA from 1 species